UUGCUUGGCUGCUCCCAGUAAACGUGCGGUAUGGUUUAUGACGAGUAGUUAAUUGAAACUUGUGGAUUGUAGUUCAUUCUCUCAGGAUAAAAGCUUUCAGAACAUGAGGGAGGAUUGCUAAAACUCUUGAUGAGUAGACCACUGGUUUGGACGCCCAGGGAAUGUUAUCUCCACUUAAAAUGGUGAAAAAUUUAAGUUUAAAUUGUUCAGCUGGCUUAAUCUCAUUGUUUUUCAAAGUGAACUUUGGAUUAUGGUUAAUGAUAUAAACCAUAAAAAUAUAAUGCCAAGAAAAGAGAUUCUGUGGUGAUAAUAAAAAAGAUAAUGUAUGCCACAAAUGAUUGACACGUGGCAGAUAGGAUUCUAUGCCACUUCACCCCCUCCAUUUCCUAACCACACCAUCUCCACAAGCCUCCCUUUUAUCAACACCACUCCUCCCUCCCACGCUUUAGCUUCACAAACCAGGAAAGAAAUUCUCAUCUCUUACACAGAAAAUGGCCUCCACAGCCACCCUCUCCAGUACCAUGUUUAGUGCCUCCUUCGCCCGGCGGCAGCCGGCCACUAGCCUACGGGCUCUUCCCAACGUUGGACAGGCUCUU
rnacentral:misc_RNA from 1 species